rnacentral:lncRNA from 1 species
UCCAUAUUCGAACACUUAUAACCCCGGCUGGAGAAACCAUCCAAAUUUUUUUUGGAGAUCACAGCUAGUGGUUGGCCCUACUGUACCUAGAUCAAAUUAUCAGGAUCUGACAUAUAGGCAUGGACCAUACCAUCAGUUUCAAAAUACUCAUUAACCAUCUAUCACUAGUCACAGCUCAGCUUUUAAGAAUAAGUUCUAAAAGUGCUAGAAUGAUUAGAAGUCAACACCU